UUGCUGCAAAAGUACAAUGUUGAGGAAGAUCCGACAGAUCCGGCUCCUCCUCCGCUCUCCUCUUCUCUCUCCCUAUUUUCUAGAUUACAACUAGAACUAACUAGAACUAGAACUAGAACUAGAGGAACUAGAACUAGAACUAGAUGAACUAGAACUAGAUCUAGAUGAACUAGGGGUAGAACUAGAAGAACUAGAGGGAUCCUCUCUACUUGGAUGAAGAAUUGAAACCCUAGCUUUGAUUCUGUAGAAGAGGUAUGAUCUCCAGGGGCCAGGAGGGUCUGGUUUUAUAGUCCCUUCAAGUGAAUCUGGGCCGUUGGAUCAAACCGACAUUGAUCGUGUGGUUUUCCUUGAAGUAUUAGGUCGGUGGAGCAUGAUCCUCGAACUUCACCCUGAUUGGUGAAAAGAGGUGGGCGGGCGCCCUCAGGACUAGGGCGGGCGCCCUGUCCCUGAGGCCUCUCGGCUUCCGCUUCGGUCCCGUGGCUUCUGGAGUCUUCUAGAUGAUAGAAAAUUGCGCGGCACGUUAAUAUCUCUAUGUAAACCCGACGUGUGGGCCUUUCUUCCAUAUUUCCUGAUAACCCCCUGCAGAAAUAGACAAACACCAAAACUUGUGGAAUUCUGUCAGAUAAAACCCUAAGUCUAGGUGUUGGUUGCAUUUGGAUCCUUUUCUAUGAUUAAUUGAUGGUUAAAUAUGAGCAUUAAGGACCGUCAACAAGCUCCCCCAAGCUUAACCUUUGCUCGUCCCUGAGCAAAGAUGAACUCAAGAGUUUCUGCAGUGGUUUCAUGCCUUAAAGAUACAUAUGUGUUCAAACAAGAUCUCAUCUCUAGGUUAGGGUAAACUGUUAAGACUUAAAACUUACUCAUUUACCUUUCACCAUGGGACUUGUAACCGUUACUUCUGUCUUGAGUAAUUAAAAGAUAGAACAGUCUAGUCAAGCACCAUGUCUCUUGUUCUUCGAUUAACUAUAGCUCUGGAGUUUUUGUAGAUUUUCAAAUAAAACUCAGAGAUUCCUUGUAUGACUCUCUCUAGUCUCUCUUUUGUGGUAUUUCUGGAUCCUUACCAAGGCAGUAAUGGUGUAUGCCUUCUCUCAAAGUAUGUGGUAUUUGUGGUAUAAGGCAUAGUGACAUUGCCUUCUCUCUCACCCUACUCUAAUAAGGCUUUUGAUAUCUGGAGCUCAUAGGUGGGAGACAGCUAAUACAUACUUACAAGACAUUUAUUGCAUAGUCAAACCAUGGAUCCAGAAAAACAAGUCAAUAAGUCAAAUCAAGAUGUGCAUGUGUGGCGAAUGAAUGGUGUAUGGUAAUGAUGGUGAUAACAAUGGUGACAGUCUAAUUCUACUUGUGCUCUUUUGAGGGGAUACAUACCUUUCUUGCUCUUUUGAAACUUUUUGAGGAGAAUGAAAUGCUCUAUAUAUAUUUUUUUCUUUUUCUUCUCUCAGGUGGGUAUCUUGUACCCCUAAUUCUACUGUCGGACACUUGUCCAUUUUUACCUCUCGUCUCACUUUUUCUUUUCUUUCGAGGUUCCGGGCACUUGCCCCUUUUUAUUUCCUCGUAUUUUUUUUCUUCUUUUUUUUUCUCUCUUUUUUUAGAGCACUCAUCUCAUGAGAUAAUAUAGCAAGUGGUAGUAACAAGAUAACUUGAGCAUUUAUUUCACAGGGGAAAAACAGGAAUAUUUUUGGCUAUUCUCUCCCGGAUCAGGAGUAGAAUAUUUUUGGGUGGUUCUGGAGAUGGAAAUGGUUGGAUAUAUGUGGAUGCGUACUUCCAGAGUAGAAGCAGCAUGUAUGAGUGAACGUGCAAGUGAAUCUUGAUUUAAUCACAUGACAAGCUCCUAAGGGUCUACACAGCUUGACCACACUCAAUGCUCAUAAGCAGUAAAAAGUAAAUGUGUGGUUUAUAGUCUAACAAGCAUGUAUAUAUGGCUGUGGUAGGAAUUUAAACUCUCAUCAUACAGGAACUCAUCAUGCAACAUUUUAAAGAUUUUCAAAGAUUAAAUUCUCCAGAAUUCUAGCAUCUCUAGGAACAGAUAAACAGAAGCUCAACCUUCCCAUAUCGUAUCCGUUAACGACUUAGACUUUAAAUCAAGUACUCUCCCCACAAGUUCAGGUUUAGAGCAAAUCUUAAUUAAUAACAGUCAUGCCUAAACUUAAGAGAGAUUUCAAUUUUUAGAACUAAUCAUGGUAGAGCAACUACUCAUCAUUUCUAUGUGAGAGCUUAUCAUGAGGGUUCAUAGCAAACUUUAUUUAUUUAUUCAUUUAUUUAGCAAACUAAGCAAAGAUAUAUAUAUAUAUAUAUAUAUAUAUAUAUAUAUAUAUAUAUAUAUAUAUAUAUAUAUAAGCACAAAAUCUUUAUUUGGGUUUUUAUGAUUAUGCAUCUUUUUAUUAUUUGAGUAAAGUAUAAACGUGAGUAGAAACACUUAGCUGGAUAAAUGGGGGUGCUCUCCCCCAAGCUGGAUUUUUACGUAAUUUCUUCUGAUGUAACUAGCAGGUGGCGGAGGUGUAUUUGAAUGUCAGCAGCACCCUGACAGUGAUUAGGAUGUCCUCCGUCAGCUAGUCUUCUUUGAUCCUUGAAUUAUGUGGAGCUCAAAUAGACAACAAAGCUUUGUGGAACUGGUUAAGUGUUAGCAUAAAUACCUAGCCUUUAUCAUGUUGAGCCUCCUCAAUAAAUGUUAUUCUCUUUAGUAGGAUCAUAAAUUUAUUUUUAUAUUUCAUUUUUAUAGGACAGGAAUAUAUUUAUUUUAUUUUUAUGCCACCACAGUGAAUGUACUUAUGGGUUUUAUGCCAUAAGUAUACUCACAUGGGGCUUAUUUUUAUUUUCUUUUCAAGAUGAUAUGAACCUGAUUAACUAAGCAAACUAUUUUAAAAUAAUUGAAAGGAAAAAGAUAACUACCAAGUUUACCUCUUGGCAAGGCGUUCGGUGUUUUUAAGUCCUCCGAACGGGACUCUCCGUUUUCUCAGUUGUCCUGGGAUUCGCUGGAUAGCGUAGUCGGUGGUUCCGGCAGCGCUUGGUCUUCAUGUAUAACUAUCUUCUCUCUCCACACCUGACUCGGUGCUAAGGUCUCCUCAGGACAAUUCUGAUCAAGCUGUAUGUCUUCAGACCUUACUACUUCUUCUUCGGAGUCUGCUCAUCCGUCCUUGAUGAUUUGCCUCCUCUGGUUGCGGUUGCGUCGUCUUCUUCUUGUCCUGACCUGCUUAGAGUCUUCAACUAUAUAGUUAGGGUCAGUAAAAUAGCAGCGUACCUUCUCAGAGGGGAAGUGCAUGUGGACUUCUCCGGUUCCAAUGUAGAUGAUUGCUUUAACGGUGCUGAGGAACGGUCUUCCAAGGAUGACGGGUGGAUUGUACUUGUCUUCUCCCAUGACAAUAACCUUCAAUCUUUCAGAAUGUCUGAUCUGCCAUCUGGAGCUGAAUGUAUGUUGGUUGUAGGGACAUGGUUCCAUGCAUGAGCUGAUAAGUGACUGCGGCCAUUAUGUUGACGUUAGAUCCGGUGUCGUAGAGUGCCUUCUGAAAAGAAUAUCCGUUGAUUGUGCACUCGAUGCUUGGGACACCAGGGUCGUCCUUCUUGAUCAAGAAAGGUGACUUGAGUUGACGAUCUUGACCUCCUUGAACUGCAGUGACCAUCUUUGCUGACUUGGUCCACAUUUGCUUGUUCCUGUUCCUCCUGUUGGUCCUCUUCCUUGUUUCAUGUCGGGAUUGCUCUGAGAUUUGUGUAGUCUGAUUCUUGAAGGUAAACAUCUCCUUCCUUCCCUUGAUGUAGACACUGAUCUUGGCAGCACUAGUGUGGAUGACAGCUCCCGAGGUGUUCAGGAAUGGCCUCCCUAGGAUGGGUGCCCUCUCAUCAGUACUAGUCUCUAUCACCACGAAGUCUGCUGGGGCGUACAAGGUACCAACUCGGACGAAGAGGUUGUUCAAUAUUCUCUUUGGGAAACUUAGCGUACGAUCUGCAAGCUGCAAACACAUGGUUGUUUCUAGGAAAGGAUGUGUAAAGAAUUUUUCAUAGAGUACCCUGGAGCCAAAGUCGCAGAGUGCUUCUGGGAAGUCCACCAUGUCGAUGGAGAUCGGGAUGACGGGGCGUCCUGGAUUGCCUCUUUUGACUGAGUGUCCAGUAUCUCCAUUAUGUAUGUGCUCGUAGAUCUAGGUUCUUCACUUGGUGGAGUCUGGGAGUUGUAAAACACCUUCAUAUUUUGCUCGAAGUGUACCUGCUCGUAGAGACAAGGCAGAGAUCAAGUGCAUGGGCCCUGUUGGUGGAAAACACCUAACAGAACCAAAAGUGUAUUUGUUCUUCUCUAACCAUAAGCAUAGUGAGCAAGACAAAGUUGAUGGAUAAUAAGAUCAUGAGUGUAGCAUUUAACAUUUGUCAGAUUAGAUUGCUCAACCUUAUGGAAAGAUAAUCUAUCUAUAUAUAUGUUUUGUUUAUAUCUUCCAAAGAUUGAGUGUGCAACAUUUUAGUUCAUAUGAUUAGGAGUGUGGAAUCACAAAGGUGGAAGGACUAAGCAUGUUGAAUCGAUUGGGUUGGUUAAUCUAGAGUUGUAGAUCAUACAUGUUUGUCUCUUUUAUUCAUGUGAACGCCAGAACCAAGGAGAAGCUUAUAGAAGUGAUAGUCAAGUACCUUAAGAUGUUACCUUACUUGAAGAGUGAUGGUACAGUAUCACCUUGUGGAAGCUUUCCUCUCUUAGCGGUUGUGCAUCGUGUUUGUGGCACCCUUCAGGGAUCAUCUCUUGUGAGCUAUGCCUUCCUUGUGUAAAUUGUUAAACUUCAUGUGCCUCUCUCUUUGUCUCCAAUAUGAGUUUAUCUCAGGACUUCCCAGGUUGAUAUUGAAAGUUUUCCUGCAGGGGUUAGUCCAACAAAAUAUCCAAUAUCUACUAUAGCAUACUAUCGGCUCCAAGAUCAACCUAGACACCAUGUCUAAUUUGAUUUAGGAGGGCAUUUUAACCUAAGCAUCAUGCUUUAAUUUAAACUCCCUUGGAAGUAAGAUCAUCAGCCCUAAACUAAGCACCAUGCUUAAUUAAGAGAUAAAUGAAACUACUCCAAACCUAGACAUAUACUAUAGCAAAUAAAGGUAGCAUGAGAGCAUUUAUAGAGAUCUACUCAAGUGGUGAUGAAGUAGUGUGAUUAGUAUUUAACAAAUUGAGCAUGUCUCAAAGGUUGGGACAACCAACAUAACAACAUGGCAAAGGAUGUUUUUAUGUAAGUACUCCCCCAAGCUUGAAUUUUGCAAAAUUCAAGUUUGGAUGAAUUUAAUUCAAUGUUGUAUGAUAGUUGGUUGGACAUACCUUGUGCUUGUCAUUCAUCCGAUCUUCUUGCUCCAAUCCUAGAAAGGUUAGUGACAAGAAUACCCGAAGGAAUAUUUUUACAAUUAUUCUUAUAUGCUCAACACACAAGGUAAUGUUGCAAAUAAUUAAAAGCUCAUGUUACGAUCUGAUCAGUGCUUGUUUUAGGACACUAAGCUUGUCCUUGGGAAACCAUCAAUUUAUGUCGGCGAAGUAGUUUCCCCUCCAACGCUGACCUAUAUCAAGAUCAACUCAACGAGAUCUACAAUAUUUAUUAUAGACAUAUGCAUUGACAACCGCCCUUUUAAAGUUUUUAUAAAUAGAAAGGAUGAGGGGGUUGGAGAUCUCGAAUGUGGUGAUGUUGGAAAAACCAAUGGAUUGGGAAGAUGUUGCAUAUGAGCAUGGAGUAAAUGAAGUGGCUAUGAAAUAAAUUCCCUGCUCAUUAAUGCUUAGAGUGAAAUCCAUGUGGUAUGGUGAAAAUGAUAAGGUGAGUGUGGUAAAAAAAAAGAAAAGAAAAAGGAUACACGGACGACUUGGUUCGAAACUAGCACAGCUACCGUUCCCCGGCAACGGCGCCAGAAAGCUUGUUGGGUAUUUUAAACGCAAACAGAAAAAUCCGCAAGCGCACGGAUACCGAUGUAGCUUUCACCCGGGAGUAUUCGAGAGUAUCGAUUUUCCACAGAGAACGUGAGUGUACUAAUUAAGAUCCAAGAUCGCCCAAGGAUAACUAUAUAAUUAUUUUUUGGUGGGAAGAGAGGAAGUUUCCUGAGAGUUCUCUAGUUGAUCUAAGAAUCAAGAAUUACUUCAAGAUUAUCUAUAUCGGGACAUCAGAGCACUAACCACAGAAAGAGAUGAGAAGGGGGCUAGGAAGGUCUGACUACGGUCCUACAAACACCGAUCCGAACGUGGUGGAAUACGUCGACUGUUAGGGCUGUCACUACCCUAAGGCUACCACAACAAUCCGCAGGAUUGGGUGCAAUUCCAGGUAAUUGCAAGACUAAACACCACGUCUAAUCUAUUAAUUACUACUCUAGCGUUAUAAAGACUAGAGCACUUGAUGCAAGCGGGAAUCCAAUAAAUAACUUGAAUGUAAAUAAAAGUAAUUAAAGAACUCAGGAAUUAUGAGUUGAAGAACCUGGAGAACGAUGAAGGACGAACCAGUUGCUGCAAAAGUACAAUAUUGAGGAAGAUCUGACAGAUCCGGCUCCUCCUCCGCUCUCCUCUUCUCUCUCCCUAUUUUCUAGAUUACAACUAGAACUAACUAGAACUAGAACUAGAGGAACUAGAACUAGAACUAGAUGAACUAGAACUAGAUCUAGAUGAACUAGAGGUAGAACUAGAAGAACUAGAGGGAUCCUCUCUACUUGGAUGAAGAAUUGAAACCCUAGCUUUGAUUCUGUAGAAGAGGUAUGAUCUCCAGGGGCCAGGAGGGUCUAGUUUUAUAGUCCCUUCAAGUGAAUCUGGGCCGUUGGAUCAAACCGACAUUGAUCGUGUGGUUUUCCUUGAAGUAUUAGGUCGGUGGAGCAUGAUCCUCGAACUUCACCCUGAUUGGUGGAAAGAGGUGGGCGGGCGCCCUCAGGACUAGGGCGGGCGCCCUGUCCCUGAGGCCUCUCGGCUUCCGCUUCGGUCCCGUGGCUUCUGGAGUCUUCUAGAUGAUAGAAAAUUACGCGGCACGUUAAUAUCUCUAUGUAAACCCGACGUGUGGGCCUUUCUUCCAUAUUUCCUGAUAACCCCCUGCAGAAAUAGACAAACACCAAAACUUGUGGAAUUCUGUCAGAUAAAACCCUAAGUCUAGGUGUUGGUUGCAUUUGGAUCCUUUUCUAUGAUUAAUUGAUGGUUAAAUAUGAGCAUUAAGGACCGUCAAUAGUGACUGCUUCUAACUUGUUUCUGCUACUUGCCAAAUCUUUUCAGCUUGUUACAGCCGCUUGCAGUUCCUUUACAUCUGGACAGUAGCUCACCUUCUGUGAAUUUUCAGCACCUCUGCAAGCCUUUUCAAAUAGCUAACUUUACCAAAAUAUUUCAAAAUAAAUUAGACACUUAAGUUAGCUUUUCAUAAAUAUUUUUGCAUGGCUUUCUCAAGAAACUCACCAUGUUAUAAAUGCAAAUUAAAGAUUUCUCCUCAUUAUAGUAUAAUUAUCUAUCCUAAAUCCGCUCACACCCUCUAGGUGUCUUGAGUGACAAAACAAAAUGGCCCUAUUAAAAAUACCUUUGCCUUGAGCCUAUUUUAAUUUUCUCUUUCUUCUUUUCCAAGUUGGAGCACUUGUGUAUCAUCUUUGGUCACCUCCAUCACCAUGACCAUCAUCUAACUCAAUCACUUGGUGUGUACCAACCUAUCUUUGUAUUUCACUCAUGACAUAGGUUAGUACACAUAUGUUUUAUCAAUUAUCCAAAACCAAACUAGGGCUUUCACUGGUACAUGCUGGCUAAGUGGCGCAGUUCUAUGCCAUGCGUCGGUGUGUCCGAGGGUUUUGCAUCGGACACUAGUUGAGGACUGUUAAGCGUCCGGUGCAAAGUGACAUUAACAACUUCAUGAGUGAGAAGUUUGGCUUUGUGAGAAUCGGAUGCAGGCCACGUCUGAUGGCAUGAAAUUGUGUUCAGGAGCUCCCUGAGUAGCGUCUAACAACGAGGCUCAGCGUCCAAUGGUUUUCAUUGGAGCAUUUGGUGUGACCCUAUCAGGCACGCGUGUGAGUUAGCCGUUGGAGGUAAUAGUUAAGUUCAAACGGCUAGUAACACAUGGUUGCUCUAUGAGCGUCAGACGCUGAGGGGAGUGUCUAACGCCUUGGCGUCGGUGCGUCCGAUGCCCCUGUCUUUUGCUCAGUGAAAGGACAAUGGCUAGUUUAGCUCUUAGGGCUAUAAAUAUGAGUGGCCAGCCUUGGGCUAGCUACUAAGCACACUAAGGCCUUGGUGGAUUAUGUGGUGGUGGAUGGGAGCCCUCUAACUCACUCAUGCUUGUUAGUGUUCAUCCGAUCGAGUGAGAGAGCGAUUCUAGUGUGAUUGCAUUAAAAGAUUACAUUGAGUGGCACUAGGUGUUCGUGUUGUAAGCCGGUGGUGCUUGUUACUCUUGGAGGUUGCCACCUCCUAGAAGGCUUGGUGGUUUGUGACUCAGCUAAAGCACAUGAGAAGAUUAUGUGGUGCUUUGGAGGAGGACUUGUGAGGGGUAUGAUGCCCAUCCUGCGGGGAUCACAAAGAGAAACUCUUGUAGAGUAAGACGCGAAGGGCGACAAGUGGUCCAACAGGGUCAAGUGCUAGAGCUUAUUGUUGAUAUUUGGGAACGCAAUAAGGAAUUGAUCCGCAAGCGCACAGAUAUCGGUGAGCACUUCACCCGGGAGGUUAUCUAGAGUAUCGUAUUUAUUUUUUUACCACUAGGAGAAAGAGUGCAUCUGACUAACCCGGUCUAUUACUACUAACCUUUAGGCUACAAAGAAUGUUUCUCGAUAUGAGCGAUAUAUAGAGAAGACUACAACCGUAAUCUCUUUCUAACCUUGGUAAGGAUAAUCUACUAUUCUGUUGGGGAGGCUCACGGAAUCUAGACACCACAGAGGAUGUUCAACCCAUACCUAUAAACCCUAUCGAUCCUACUAACGGGAUAUGGGCUGCAAAGGUAACUCGGAAAUGUCACGUUCCUCGCUACUACCACGGUCCAGCUAGUCAGGGGAUAUCUAUGAGUAUCCUAGCCCAAACACCACAUCUACACUAGAGAUGAUUACUCUAAACUCUACGCGAAGAGAUUAAAGUAAACUCAUAAACCAAAGAACAAUAAAACAAGAACUUACUAGAAUUUAGAAGUCGAAAUACUGAAGAAUCCUAGGAGCAAGCUUCGGGUUAGGAGAACUUGAUCCCGCAGGUACAACCUCGGAGUAGACAUCGACAGGCCGGGCUUUCUCUGAUCUACACCUCCACUCUAUCUCUCUCAAUCUAGUAGAUCUAGUCUACUCUCACAUUGGAUGCUAAGCCCUAAGUCUAUAUAGAGGAAAGGUUAUCCUUCGAGGGCACCUCUCAACUCUAUGAUGAACUUGUUCUCCUCUAGGGGCUAGGGGGUCUGCUUAUAUAGUCCCCUCAGGUGAACGUGGGCCGUCGGAUCAAACCGACAUUGAUUGAACGGUUAUCCUUGAUCCUUUAGGUCGGUGGAGCGUGAUCCGCGAGAUUGGCUCCGAUUGGUGGAACCACCAGGGCGGGCGCCCUAGGGGGGAGGGUGGGCGCCCUGCCCCCGGGCCCGAUCGCCUUCCCGUUCGUUCCCGUGGCUUCUGGAGUCUUCUAGAUGGUAGAAAAUUGCGCGGUGCGUUAAUAUCUCUAUGUAAUCCCGACAUGUGGGCCUUUCUUCCUUAUUUCCUGAGAACCCCCUACAGAAACAGAUAAACAACAAAACUCGUGGAAUUCUGUCAGAUCAAACCCUAAUUCUAGGUGUUGUUUGUAUAUUGGUCCUUUCCUUUGUUUAUUUGAUAAUUAAAAUUGAUACUUAAGAACUGUCAACAAAUACCCCCAAACUUAGGCUUUUACUCGUCCUCGAGAAAAGGAUGGUUAGGAAAAAAUAUCUGGGGUUAAAACAUUGUAAAGCAUUUUCUUCAUACCUGCAGGGUGUUGUAAAAAUUCACUGUGUACCAUAGUCAGGGAAUUAUAUGGUUAAGAGUAGAGGUCGUUUCUUCUCAAUCCUGUUACUUGGAGUUUUUGUAUAUUUUUGAAAAGAAAUUUAGCAUACCUUUAUCCUCAUAGGUUCUCUCAGAUCACUCAUUAUCUUUUGUAUAUCUCACUGAGGUUGUUUUAAUUUACAGAAAUUCUCAAGCAUACUUACCUUGCAUUUAUUGCCUGAUCAAAGACUUUGGAAAUUAAAAACUUUGGAGAAGAAUGCCAUACUCUUAGAUCAAAGACUUUGGAAAUUAAAAACUUGUCAACUCUUACUGGCAUAUUGCUAAUUAGAGGGACCAUAGGCUAUUAUUUUUUUUUCAGAUGCAUACCGAGGUACCCCUAAUUCUACUGCCGGACACUUGUCCACUUUUUCUACGAGGUUGUCGAGCACUUGCUCCUUUUUAUUUCCUCGAAAUAUCCUUAUUUUUGCAUAGCCCAUGCCUCUAAUGCAAUAAUACUUCGGAAGAGUGAAUCUUUCUGAAUAGAUGUCUUGAUCUUAGGAGUAUGAUAAAUCUCUCAACAAGGGUCUAACUCAUUUUGAACAAACUCAAUACAGAGUAGAUAGAUUUUAUAAUUAUUAAUAUUUAAUAUUUUCAAGUUUAUCUGGCAUAUAAAACACUGAGGAUGGUAGCUAGAAUUUUUGAAGAUUUUGAAAUAAAUUCUCCAAGCAGCAAUGAUAUAAAAAUAAGAUACUCAUACUCUACCAUCUCACAUUCCACAAUGACUUAAGUAACACAGGGUUUUAAAAUGAUUUUUCAAUAAUUACAGGUUUUUAGGAAAUAUCACAGAGUGAGAUUAAUCAUGAUUAGAAACAUUUUAAUCUUUUUAAUUUAUCAUGUCAGAGACAGUAUUCUGCAUAAUCCAAGAUAUAUGUGUAUGUGUAAAGUGUGCAGAGUAUGUACCUGAAUCGUGGAGUGGUGUAGUCGAAGUGUGUUUGGCGUGUCGAGGGAUCUCCCUCAUACUUGUUUUCUGCUUUCUUGUAUAAAAAUAAAGUAGAGACACACAAGACAUAAUAAUAAUAAUACUCUUUAUUAAUCUUGAGGCAUUUAUUACAACUGACAAAUAAUGAACUGAAGCUAAUAGUAAAUCUAAACUGAAUUUAAAGAUAACUAAGAUGCAUUGCCUCAAGAUCUAAUCUAGAUAACUUAGCGGCGCUCUAAUUCCCUGAUCUUCUUAUUGGCACUAGCAAGAUCAUGCCUAAGACCUAGUAUAACGGUGUUGUGGUUAGAGAGCUGCCUAGUCAUAGAGUUAACCGAGGACUGGAGGUCUAUGAUGACCCUGUCUAGCCUACGUACGUCCUCAUCAAUAUCUACUAUAGUCUUGCGACGCUUGGGAGGUGUCUCGAGAGCAUUGAGAGCGUGCUUUGAGGCUGCCUUUGGAGGGAUGAAACGGACUUUGCCUGCUCUAAUCCCCUCAAAGUAAGGUCUCUCUUCCUCCGUAGUGUAACGAAUGCUGCUGAUCUCGCCGCUCCGGUUGGUCUUGACUCCAACGACCCUCUCAUUGGGUCUGGGUGGUAGGAUCCUUGUGCCGGCUGGCACCUUGAUGGUGGCCUCCUUCUUGGCUGAUGGUCCUUUGAGAAGUAGGGGCUGUGGCGGUGCGGUGAGAACUGGUUGAGCAUGGUAGGAUUGGGCGGAGCUGCGCUGGCGUAAUGGCAUGGCUUCUAGCUGUCGCUCUGUGUUGGCCGGGACGAGAGCGUGGGCGUCGGGAUCUUCCUUGGGCUUCUUGUUGAGGUCGUAGGGGACGACUUCCCAAUCGUCGUGGAACUCUUCGGCCAUUGGAGCAGCGAGGAACUAAGCAAGCUCUAAUAGAAGGAGAGAAGGCUUGAAUACUUUGGUGUUUGAAAACUGACGUCAGGGGUAUGUUUAUAUAGGGGUCAAAAAGUGCCUCUAGGGUUUGUUCGGGCUACUCCCGCCGCCGUGCGUGCGAAACUUUCCAUCUGUAAGAUUUUUUGGUUUACCAUAAAUGUGUUUACCGCGACGGAGGAAAUCGGGACUGAGAGGGGGUAGGGGCUGGGCGCCCGCCCUCUUCAUCAGGGCGCCCACCCUGUGCCUGGUCCCUCUGUGGGCCCGCUUCCUCGAGUGUGCUUCUAGAUGCAGACUUUAUUCGGAAAAUAUAUGUGUGGCUCAAAAACGUCAGAUUAAAAAGGUUGGGCUCUAAAUUUCCAUGGGAAGGUAAAAAUGGAUCAUGUCUAUCUCUUCUAAUUCUUUAUUGGGCUCUAAAAAUAAUUUAAGACGUUGACCAUUUACCUUGAAUAAUGUACCUUCGUCAUUUUGAAGUGUGAUGGCUUCGUGGGAUGAUGAAUUGAUUACCUUGAAUGGUCCUUCCCAUUUACUCUAGAGUUUUCCAUGCCCGAAAAGCUUCACCCUAGAAUUAAAAAGUAAUACCUUAUCUCCGGGUGCGAACUCCUUCUUCUUGAUCCUCUUGUCAUGCCACCUUUUGACUCUUUCUUUAUAGAUCUUCGAAUUAUGGUAUGCUUUCUCUCGCCAUUCUUCCAAUUCUGAUAGUUGCAUUAUUCUAUAAUCUCCAGUGACAUCUAGGUCCAUAUUCCAUCUCCUUAUGGCCCAGUGUGCUUUGAAUUCUAAUUCAACAGGUAGGUGGCAAGUCUUCUCGUACACCAAUUGAUAUGGGGACAUUCCAAUUGGGGUCUUGUAUGCUGUCCGGUAUGCCCAGAGUGCAUCGGGUAACUUGUCCUUCCAUGCCGUUCUCAUUUCAUUGACUGUCUUCUGAAGAAUAUUCUUGAUUUGCUUGUUGGAAGUCUCUGCUUGGCCACUUGUCUGAGGAUGGUAGGGGGUAGCGACGUUGUGACGGAUUUCAUGUUUUGAUAGAUAUUGCUUGAAGCGUUUGUCAAUGAAGUGUGCUCCUCCAUCACUUAUCACUACUCUGGGAACUCCAAAUCUUGGAAAUAUAAUUUCUUCAAACAUCCUAUUUGAACUGAUGUUGUCGGCGUGCUUGCAAGGUAGUGCCUCUACCCACUUGGAGACGUAGUCAACUGCCACCAAGAUGAACUCGCACUUCUUUGAUGGGGGAAAUGGACCCAUGUAAUCUAUUCCCCAAACAUCAAAGAGCUCAAUCUGAAGGUUGUUGGUGAGUGGCAUGGCAUCCCUUGUGUUUAUGUUUCCGUGCCUUUGACAUGGCCCACAUCUUCUGAUAUAUUGCUUCGUGUCUUCAUACAUUGUAGGCCAGUAGAAUCCACACUCCCAGAUCUUUGAAUGUGUACGGAAUGCUCCAUAAUGACCUCCAUAUGGUGAUGAAUGACACCUAUCGAUGAUCUUCCAUCCUUCCUCAAUGGUCACACAUCUCCUGAGUAAGCCAUCAGAGCAUACUCGGAAGAGGUAUGGCUCAUCCCAUAUAUGUGAACGAUUUUGUUGAAUAAGCUUCUUCUUGUUUGCUCCGGGUGGUACAUACCCUGAAACCAUAAAAUUAAUAAUAUCUGCAUACCAGAAGUCAGACCUGUUAAUCCCGUAGAGCAUGUCGUCCCAGAGUGAAUCAUUGAUGGGGGUUUCCUGUGGAUUCUUAAAAUACAUUCUAGACAAGUGAUCAGCAACAACAUUUUCUACUCCCUUUUUAUCUUUUAUUUCUAAGUCAAAUUCUUGAAGUAAUAAGAUCCAUCUAAUCAAGCGAGGUUCAGCAUCUUUUUUAGUGAGCAGAUAUUUUAGUGCAGCAUGAUCAGUGUAAACAAUUAUUUUAGCUCCAACUAAAUAAGAUCUAAAUUUAUCAAUGACAAAUACAACAGCCAUUGCAUAAUUAAGUUGAGCUCCUGUCAAAGUUUUACUGGCAUAAGCAAUUGCAUGAUGCUUCUUAUUUUUAGUUUGUCCCAAAACUGCCCCCACAGCAUAAUCACUAGCAUCACACAUAAUUUCAAAAGGUAACAACCAAUCAGGGGGUUGAAUGAUUGGCGCAGAGAUGAGUGCAUUCUUUAAUAAAUUGAAAGAUGUUAGGCAUGCAUCAUCAAAUUCGAAAGGAGCAUCCUUGGCUAGCAAAAGAGUAAGUGGUCUAGCAAUAAAUGAAAAAUCUUUUAUAAAUCUACGAUAAAAACCAGCAUGGCCAAGAAAACUUCGAAUUCCUUUUGUAUUUACAGGUGGAGGUAGUUGUUCAAUUACUUCAAUUUUAGCUUUGUCUACCUCAAUACCUCUUUCAGACACUAGGUGUCCCAGCACUAUUCCUUCUCUAACCAUAAAAUGACAUUUUUCCCAAUUAAGGACUAAGUGCUUUUCUUCACAUCUUUGCAAAACCUUGUCUAAGUUUUCAAGACAACUAUCAAAAGUUUUUCCAUAAACAGAGAAAUCAUCCAUGAAAACUUCCAUAAUCUCUUCAAUCAUAUCAGAAAAUAUAGACAUCAUGCAUCUUUGAAAAGAAGCUGGUGCAUUACAUAACCCAAAAGACAUUCUACGAUAAGCAUAAGUUCCAUAUGGGCAUGUAAAAGUGGUUUUGCUUUGAUCAUCAGGAUGGAUCGAGAUCUGGUGAUACCCUGAAUAUCCAUCUAAGAAACAGAAGAACGAAUGGUUCACUAAUCGCUCUAACAUCUCAUCUAUGAAAGGUAAAGGAAAAUGAUCCGUUCUUGUGGCUUUGUUUAGUUUUCUAUAGUCUAUGCACAUCCGCCACCCUGUGACGGUGCGUAGUGGAAUUAGCUCGUUCUUUUCAUUCGUAACAACAGUCAUGCCUCCCUUUUUCAGCACAACUUGAACUGGGCUCACCCACUCACUGUGCGGCAUAGGAUAUAUAAUCCCUACAUGCAGCAACUUUAUAACUUCCUUUUUAACUACCUCUCUCAUCGCGUUGUUCAGUCUACGUUGGGGCUCUCGAGAAGGUGAAACAGAAGGAUCUGUUGGAAUACGAUGGGUACAAAUCAUAGGACUGAUUCCUGUGAGAUCUUGGAGUGAGUAGCCGAAAACUGAGUGAUGUUUCUCAAGAAUGGUCAUUAAUCGCAGAGUUUGCUCCUGAGUGAGUUUAUCACUAAUGAUCAUAGGAAACUCUGGAUUAUUGUUUAGCAAAGCAUAGAUAAGACUGGGUUGUAAAGGUUUAAGCUCUAUGGGAGGUCUAGGUGUUUCUGCAAACUCGUCUAAGGGUUCAGGUUCAGAAGGUUCAGCUUCUUCUUCUAGGAAGAAAGGAGCUUCUUCUUCUAAGUCUGGUUUAUCUAAAAGCUCUAGAGAUGCAGCCUUUACCUCCUCCAUAGGAUCAGGCAAAAGAUAUGACUCGGCCUUAUUAUUUAAGGAGUGUGAAAUCAUUAUUGGAAAUUUAAAAGUUUUUCCAAAAGAAAUGUGUAGCUUUCUAGUAUGACCUUCAUAAAGGAGUCUUCUAAAAGGUUGUCCUAUCAACAGGUCGAAGUCCCAUGUAUCAAAGAUAUAGAAGUUCAAAUGAACCAUGGAGCCUUCUACCAUAAGAGGUAGGACAUUAAUAAUUCCAAAACUAGGGACUAAUCAUCUCGAAGAUUCCUUUAUGACCUUUGUUGUGGGGCUUAGGACCAAAUUUUUAAAUAAUUUAAGUGCAAAAGAUUCAGACAUGAUGUUGAUCCCCACAACAGGAUUAUAGAGAGCAUCAAAUUGAUCAGAAUCAUAAGCACCGUAUAGUUAUAGGAAGUGUGUCCAAACGGAUCACAUUAGAGGAAAGCUCUGACUCCUCCAACCAUUCGCUACUCAUGACUGAGAUAAGCUCUCUCAAUUGAUAUUCAGUUGGCAAACAAAUGGUAAAAUGGCCGUUUUGGGGUCUGUCAAUAGAAUGGUAGUUUGAAAUGUUUCCAAAAUCGGCAAAAAGAUCAGAUUCUAUAUCCAGCAUGAAAUCAGGUGGGGGAAUUUCUUCCUUUUGUGGCUCAGAACUUGGGAUAACUAAAGUAGAUGGAGAAUUUGGCAGAGCGUCUACUUUGGCUUCGUGGGUUUCAUCAUGAAGGGUAUUAUCCAUCUCAGCUUCUAGGAUUCUAUCUAGGAUCACUCUAGCAUCAUCAGUAGGGAUGCGAAAGAAAGAACCUCUAGACAUUGUAUGUAGCAUUUGUUUUUGAUCUUUCUGAAGACCUCAAAAAAAGUGAAAUAAAAGAACAGGGUCUUCAAGAUUAAGGUUUGGACCAGAUUCUAAAAGAUCAGAAAAACGUUUCUAGGAUUUUCCCAAAGUUUCAUUAUCUUUUUGUUUAAAAGAUAAGACUUCGAGUCUAAGGUCGCCGAUAUGGUCGAGGGAAUAAAAAUCUAGACAAAAGUUGGCUCGUAAAACUCUCCAUUCACCUCAUUGUUGAUUUACCUUCUGAUUAUACCAUUGUCUAGCUUCUCCCCUUAAAGGGAAAGGUAAAAGCUUCCAACGUAAAGUUUUAUCAGAAAUGCCUUCAAUGCGAAGACAAUCACAUGUUUGCUCAAAAUCUCUAAUAUGAAGGUAAGGGUUUUCGUCUUCCUUUCCUGAAAAAGAUAGGUUUUGAAUCAUGGCAAUUAACCUGGAACUUAACCUAUACUGGGAUGUUUGGAUAGGCUGUGAUGACUCCCAUGGUAAAAGGUCAGUUUCCGAAGGUGUUGCAAAUUGAUAGAUUGAUUUAGAAUCUUGGUUUUCCAUAAGGUAAGAAUAAAUAAAAUAAAUAAAGAAUAUAAAAGAUAAUAAAAGAUAAAAGUAUAGAAACAAGCUAGUAGUAAGACUCAAGGUUAUCUCAGCAAACCGUCUAUCUCCCCGGCAACGGCGCCAGAAAUGCUUGUUGAUAUUUGGGAACGCAAUAACGAAUUGAUCCACAAGCGCACGGAUAUCGGUGAGCACAUCACCCGGGAGGUUAUCCAGAGUAUCGUAUUUAUUUUUUUACCACUAGGAGAAAGAGUGCAUCUGACUAACCCGGUCUAUUACUACUAACCCUUUAGGCUACAAAGAAUGUUUCUCGAUGUGAACGAUAUAUAGAGAAGACUACAACGGUAAUCUCUUUCUAACCUUGGUAAGGAUAAUCUAUUGUUCUGUUGGGGAGGCUCACGGAAUCUAGACACCACAGAGGAUGUUCAACCCGUACCUAUAAACCCUAUCGAUCCUACUAACGGGAUAUGGACUGCAAAAGUAACUCGGAAAUGUCACGUUCCUCGCUACUACCACGAUCGAGCUAGUCAGGGGAUAUCUAUGAGUAUCCGAGCCCAAACACCACGUCUACGCUAGAGAUGAUUACUCUAAACUCUACACGAAGAGAUUAAAGUAAACUCAUAAACCAAAGAACAAUAAAACAAGAACUUACUAGAAUUUAGAAGUCGAAAUACUGAAGAAUCCUAGGAGCAAGCUUCGGAUUAGGAGAACUUGAUCCCGCAGGUACAACCUCGGAGUAGACACCGACAGGCCGGGCUUCCUCCGAUCUACACCUCCACUCUAUCUCUCUCAAUCUAGUAGAUCUAGUCUACUCUCACAUUGGAUGCUAAGCCCUAAGUCUAUUUAGAGGAAAGGUUAUCCAUCGAGGGCACCUCUCAACUCUAUGAUGCUUGUUCUCCUCCAGGGGCCAGGGGGUCUGCUUAUAUAGUCCCCUCAGGUGAACGUGGGCCGUCGGAUCAAACCGACAUUGGUUGAACGGUUAUCCUUGAUACUUUAGGUCGGUGGAGCGUGAUCCACGAGAUUGGCUCCGAUUGGUGGAACCACCAAGGCGGGUGCCCUAGGGGGGAGGGCGGGCGCCCUGCCCCCGGGCCCGAUCGCCUUCCCGUUCGUUCCCGUGGCUUCUGGAGUCUUCUAGAUGGUAGAAAAUUACGCGGUGCGUUAAUAUCUCUAUGUAAUCCUGACAUGUGGGCCUUUCUUCCUUAUUUCCUGAUAACCCCCUGCAGAAACAGAUAAACAACAAAAUCAUAGAAUUCUGUCAGAUCAAACUCUAAUUCUAGGUGUUGUUUGUAUAUCGGUCCUUUCCCUUAUUUAUUUGAUAAUUAAAAUUGAUACAUAUGAGAGAGUGUGACUUAUGAGUCACCACUAGCAAGAGGACCGAUGGCAACCUUAGAGCUUGUCUCAAUGAGAACUUAGCUUGGUGGCAACUAAGUGAACCUCGGUACGAAAAAACCGUGUUAACUUUGUCUACUCUUCUCGGUGGUUUGCAUUUGUCAUACACAAGCUUGUAUUCAUAUUCUAUAUUUAGUGCUUGUGUAGUUUCUCUUGUAACUAGUUUAGCUUAUGUAGCUUGCUAGUUACCUUUUUGCUUGUGUAGCUAGAAGUAGCUCUUAUUGUGUGACUAAUUUGGUUUGUGUAACCUUGUUAGUCAAAUUGCUUAGUUUGUGUAGCUAAGUAAUUUGCACUCUCUAAUUUGGUAUUACUUGCCUUGUUAUUGAGCAUUGCUAGUGAUAUUAGGCUUUGUGCGUUUUGCAUCACUAGUUUGUUUAGGUGCUCCCCAGUUUGCUUAAAGUACUAGAUGCAUAGGUUUGUAUGACCUUGCAAGCUAGAAUUGGUUAGGUGAGCACUAGAUAGCGUGACACCUUUAUUGCCUAAUUAGAAUCCUUUUAAGGUACUUGUGAUUUUAAAUAGAGGGGUGAAGUAUUGACUAGAUUGACAGUUUUAAUUCCGUAUUUGUUUUGGUUAGCCAGCGUGUUAAAUUUUUAGAAAAGACUAUUCAACUUCCUAGUCCACCAUCUCGACCCUUCACUAGGGUUUUAUGAGUAGCGAGGACGAGAGGGUUAUGUAAGGGAGGCAAGGGCGUGUGCUAAAUGACUAUGUUGACCUCAGUGCCUUCCCUUUUCGAUCAUGAGAUGACAGGUUUGCACGAAUCACAGAGUAGGCUUGGGUAUGUAAUCCUAGCCUAUUGGGGAUUGCAAUUGUGGGUCUUUAGACUACGACGACAGCCCGAUGGACUCCUGGAAUAGGUUUCCUUCCAUUUAUGAAGGUUUGUUUUCGACUGCCUUCAACUUCCACGACUGUCCUGUCUCUUAUGCGAAGUGGGAUACACAACUAGUGAAUGACAUCUUUUGGGUGGAGGACGCGAAGAAGAUUAUUCUAGCAAUUCCAGUUCAUGGGGUAUGGAGAAUUUAGCGGCUUGGCAGUUCAAGAUUUUUUAGCUAAAAGUGCACACAAGUUGUAAAGGAGUGAUCAGCUAUGCAGGAGCAGUAGAGGUGGGAGCUCGAUGUCAAACCCAGAUGCGGGGUAUACAUCUCCGUGGGAGAAGUUGUGGAAUCUAAAUUGCAUAAACAAGGUUAAGCACUUGGCCUUGUUUAGUUCGUGAAAAGAAAAUUUUUGUGUGUCACAUCGGAGAUGCCAACAUAUAUUUGAAGUAAUUAACGUAGACUAAUUAAAAACAAAUUACAUAGCUCGUCUAGAAAAUGCGAGUCAAAUUUAUUAAGCCUAAUUAAUCUGUAAUUAGCACAUGUUCGUUAUUGUAGCAAUUAUGGCUAAUCAUGGACUAAUUAGGCUUAAAAGAUUUAUCUCAUGAUUUACAACUAAAUUGUGCAAUUCAUUUUUUCAUCUAUAUUUAAUGCUUCAUGCAUGUAUCAAAAGAAUUGAUGUGAUGAGUGAAAAGUUUUUAGGUAAAGAACUAAACAAAGCCUUAAUUGAAGGCUGUGCUAUAACAAUCACCCCAUCCCUAUGAACUUGAAAAGAUGCGGAAUGGAUAUUGAUACCCAGCGUGUGAUCUGCCAACGUUUCAAUGAAGACGGGGCUCACUUGUUUUUCUAAUGCAAGCUUAUGCAAAAGGUAUAUAUGGUGCCUCUUUGGUCUGAACCAGGUGUGUGAAAUGUUAGCAACAAAGCAGUCAACAAGAGAUGUAAUCGAGGCUGUGCUGGUCAUGAAAGAAGAUCAAAAGCUAAAAUGCUGCUAGGCCCAUGUAAUCUUCGUAUCGGAAUCAAGUAGGACACGCAUACGUGAACUUCAAGUGAAAGAUGAUUCGGACGUGGACAUCGAUUUGAACGUGUAACGUGUGAGUAAGGAUCAAGACUUGGCAUCGAGCAGACGAUGAUAUUUCAGUCCUUUGUAGUGUAGAGAUUAAGGGCCUCUUUUGAUGAUGCGGUUUUCAAAAACCAUAGUAUCACAAAACGAUGGUAUUAUAAGCCAAAGAGACACAAAACUGUGGUUUAUAAAAAAGAGGUCAUAUGUGAGUUUCUAAAACUCUAAAAAUUUACAGUUUUGACAAAACCAUUGUUUUAGAGACUUAAGAUUUGUUGCAUCAAAAUAUCCAUUAACUUUUAAAAACCAAAAUAUUUUAUAAAAUCAUAAUAUUUCUCUAAUACUUUAAAACAUAUUUUUGCAUCCAAAUAUGGCUUAAGUCUUUUGAAGUGUAGAGAUUAACUAAAAAUAUGGUUGUGCUUGGGAUGGGAGAGGGGAGGGGGCAUAUGGCCCCUGCUGGCGCCUACCUCCUUCGCAAAACCAUAUGUAGUUAAUUAAAAAGACAAUUCAUAAGAGAUAGUUGUAGUGAAUCAUGCAAAGACGUUGUCAGCAGAGACUAAUUAUUUAGUUAUUUGUCUUUGCAAAGAUUGCAAGAACCACUAUGCAACUUAUGAUGUGAAAAUUAUCAGAUCACAUCUAAUUAGGCGAGGAUUUGUUCCGAACUACACAGUAUGACUUCAUCAUGGUGAAGUAAUGGUUCUUGACGGCAACGAUGGUGACCAAGAAGACGAUGCUAAAGGCUAAUUGUUAUCCCAAUACUCAGUUAUGUUUGAAGCACAAAUGCAACAUGAGUAAGCCAAUGAACAAGCAUGUGGUGAUGAUGCUGCUGGUGUCGAUAAUAAUGAUGGUGAUGUUGACGGUGUCAACAAUAAUGAUGGUGGAGCAUGUGAGGGGGAUGCAGAAAACUUUGAUAACUUAGAGGAAAUACUUCGGGCCAUUGGACCAGAAAUACUACAACAGAAGAAGGGUCUAGAAAAUCUAGAGUGGGUGAAAACAACGUCGAAGGAGACUAUGUAUGGUGUUAAGAAGGGCUGUCCAACACACUAGACACUGCUCCGUUUUGUGCUUGAGCUACUCAUCCUGAAGGCUCAGUACGACUGGGCGGAUGCAGUUUCGACGAUUGUUUGGUAUUUUAAACGCAAACAGAAAAAAUCCGCAAGCGCACGGAUACCGAUAUAGCUUUCACCUGGGAGUAUUCCAGAGUAUCGAUUUUCCACAGGGAACGUGAGUGUACUAAUUAAGAUUCAAGAUCGCCCAAGGAUAACUAUGUAAUUAUUUUUGGUGGGAAGAGAGGAAGUUUCCUGAGAGUUCUCUAGUUGAUCUAAGAAUCAAGAAUUACUUCAAAGAUUAUUUAUUUCGGGACAUCAGAACACUAACCACAGAAAGAGAUGAGAAGGGGGCUAGGAAGCUCUGACUACGGUCCUACAAACACUGAUCCGAACGAGGUGGAAUACGUCGACCGUUAGGGCUAUCACUACCCUAGGGCUACCAUAGCAAUCCGCAGGAUUGGGUGCAAUUCCAGGUAAUUGCAAGACUAAACACCACGUCUAAUCUAUUAAUUACUACUCUAGCGUUGCAAAGACUAGAGCACUUGAUGCAAGCGGGAAUAAAAUAAAUAACUUGAAUGUAAAUAAAAGUAAUUAAAGAACUCAGGAAUUAUGAAUUGAAGAACCUGGAGAACGAUGAAGAACGAACCGGUUGCUGCAAAAGUACAAUGUUGAGGAAGAUCCGAUAGAUCCGGCUCCUCCUCCGCUCUCCUCUUCUCUCUCCCUAUUUUCUAGAUUACAACUAGAACUAACUAGAACUAGAACUAGAGGAACUAGAAUUAGAACUAGAUGAACUAGAGGGAUCCUCUCUACUUGGAUGAAUAAUUGAAACCCUAGCUUUGAUUCUGUAGAAGAGGUAUGCUCUCCAGGGGCCAGGGGGCCUUGCUUAUAUAGUCUUUUCAGAUGAAUCUGGACCGUCGGAUCAAACUGACAUUGAUUGAACGGUGAUCCUUGAUCCUUUAGGUCGGUGGAGCAUGAUCCCCGAAGAGGACUCUGAUUGGGCAACACAGGAGGGCAGGAGCCCUGGUCUCUAGGGCGGGCGCCCUGGGCCAGGCCCCGUUCUGCCUCUGCUUCGUUCCUGGAGUCUUCUAGAUGAUAGAAAAUUGCACGGCACGUUAAUAUCUCUAUGUAAACCCGACAUGUGGGCCUUUCUUUCGUAUUUCCUGAUAACCCCCUGCAGAAAUAGACAAACAUCAAAACUCGUGGAAUUCUGUUAGAUAAAACCCUAAGUCUGAGUGUUGGUUGCAUAUAAGUCCUUUUCCAUGAUUAGUUGACGGUUAAAUGUGAGCAUUAAGGACCGUCAACAAGAUCCCCUAAGCUCAACCUUUGCUCGUCCCUGAGCAAAGAUGGACUCAAGAGUUUCUGCAGUGGUUUCAUGCCUUAAAGGUACAUAUGCAUUCAAACAAGAUCUUAUCUCUGGGUUAGGGUAAACUGUUAAGAUUUAAACUUAUUUAUUUUUCCUUCCACCAUGGGGCUUCCAACCGUCACUUGUGUCUUGAGCAGUUAAAAGAUAGAACGGUCUAGUCAAGCGCCAUGUCUCUUGUUCUUUGAUUAACUACAGCUCUAGAGUUUUUGCAGAUUUUCAAAUAAAACUCAGAGAUUCCUUGUAUGACUCUCUCUAGUCUCUCUUUUAUGGUAUUUCUGGAUCCUUACCAAGGCAGUAAUGGUGUAUGCCUUCUCUCAAAGUAUGUGGUAUUUUUGGUAUAUAUGAGGCAUAGUGGCAUUGCCUUCUCUCUCACCCUACUCUAAUAAGGUUUUGAUAUCUGGAGCUCAUAGGUGGGAGACAACUAAUACAUACUUACAAGACAUUUAUUGCAUAGUCAAACCAUGGAUCCAGAAGAACAAGUCAAUAAGUCAAAUCAAGAUGUGCAUGUGUGGCGAAUGAAUGGUGAUAAUGGUGAAAAUAAUGGUGAAAGUCUAAUUCUACUUUUGCUCUUUUGAGGGGGUACAUACCUUCCUUGCACUUGAGGCUUUUGAGGGGAAUGAGAUGCUCUAUAUUUUAUUUUUCUUUUCUCUCAGGUGGGUAUCUUGUACCCCUAAUUCUACUGUCGGACACUUGUCCAUUUUUACCUCUCGUCUCACUUUUUCUUUUCUUUCGAGGUUCCGGGCACUUGCCCCUUUUUAUUUCCUCGUAUUCUCUCGCUCUUUUUUUAGAGCACUCAUCUCUCGAAAUAAUAUAGCAAGUGGUAGUAACCAAGAUAACUUGCAUUUAUUUUAUAGGGAAAAACAGGAAUAGGAGAAUGUUUUUGGCUAUUCUCUCCCGGAUUAGGAGUAGAAUAUUUUUGGGUGGUUCUGGAGAUGGAAAUGGAUGGAUAUAUGUGGAUGCGUACUUCCGGAGUAGAAGCAGCAUGUGUGAGUGAACGUGCAAGUGAAUCUUGAUUUUAACCACAUG
rnacentral:lncRNA from 1 species